CUGUCAUCUCGCCGCCCCGCAAGAAAAAAACAAGCUAGUUUUUACAACAAUUGAAAAUUUACGUAAAUAAUUAGAAGCGUGCCUUAGGAAGAAUUAUUUGUCUACACGAUGGUUUUCAACUUUACCGCCUUCACCUACAUCGUUGCCUUGAUUGGCGAUGCAUUCUUGAUAUUUUUCGCAAUAUUCCAUGUCAUUGCCUUUGAUGAGCUGAAAACAGAUUAUAAAAAUCCAAUAGAUCAAUGUAACAGCCUUAAUCCGCUAGUCUUACCUGAAUAUUUGCUCCACAUAUUCCUCAAUUUGUUAUUCUUGGUGUGCGGCGAAUGGUUCUCCCUGGCCAUCAACAUACCCCUCAUUGCGUAUCACAUUUGGCGCUACAAAACUCGUCCAGUCAUGUCCGGACCGGGUUUGUACGAUCCUACAACGGUGCUGAAGACGGACACCUUGUCGCGUAACAUGCGUGAGGGCUGGAUCAAGCUGGCCGUCUAUUUGAUUAGUUUCUUCUACUACAUCUAUGGCAUGGUUUAUUCGCUCAUCUCCACAUAGAGCUGCCUGGGGAUCGGGAUCUCUACAUCGUGUAUAAGUUGUCAUAAAAACAUACGCCUGAGGGAUAGUGGAUUAUUCGACUAGCCGGAGACAUGGAGAACCUGAUUACGUCCAAAACGCUUAUCAACUAUACCAACAUAGAUAUCACAAUCUAACAUAAUGGAACUGACUUGGAGGAGACCUACACAUUAGCUGCCUCAAAUAAACGCAUUUUUUCCACGUU
rnacentral:misc_RNA from 1 species